rnacentral:rRNA from 2 species
UGUGAAUCAUCGAAUCUUUAGAACGCACAUUGCGCCCUAUGGUAUUCCAUAGGGCAUGCCUGUUUGAGCGUCAUUUCUCUCUCAAAUCUUCGGAUUUGGUUUUGAGUGAUACUCUUAGUCAGACUAAGCGUUUGCUUGAAAUGUAUUGGCAUGAGUGGUACUAGAUAGUGCUGAACUGUUUCAAUGUAUUAGGUUUAUCCAACUCGUUGACCAGUAUAGUAUUUGUUUAUUACACAGGCUCGGCCUUACAACAACAAACAAAGUUUGACCUCAAAUCAGGUAGGACUACCCGCUGAACUUAAGCUUAUCAAUAAGCGGAGGAAUC